rnacentral:rRNA from 1 species
UACGUAGGGGGCAAGCGUUGUCCGGAUUUAUUGGGCGUAAAGAGCGUGUAGGCGGCCGUACAGGUCAGCUGUGAAAACUCGAGGCUCAACCUCGAGACGUCGGUUGAAACCGUCUGGCUAGAGUCCGGAAGAGGAGAGUGGAAUUCCCGGUGUAGCGGUGAAAUGCGCAGAUAUCGGGAAGAACACCCGUGGCGAAGGCGGCUCUCUGGGACGGUACUGACGCUGAGACGCGAAAGCGUGGGGAGCGAACAGG